rnacentral:rRNA from 1 species
GUGGUAUCCUGUCUGAAUAUGGGGGGACCAUCCUCCAAGGCUAAAUACUCCUGACUGACCGAUAGUGAACCAGUACCGUGAGGGAAAGGCGAAAAGAACCCCGGCGAGGGGAGUGAAAAAGAACCUGAAACCGUGUACGUACAAGCAGUGGGAGCACGCUUAGGCGUGUGACUGCGUACCUUUUGUAUAAUGGGUCAGCGACUUAUAUUCUGUAGCAAGGUUAACCGAAUAGGGGAGCCGAAGGGAAACCGAGUCUUAACUGGGCGUUAAGUUGCAGGGUAUAGACCCGAAACCCGGUGAUCUAGCCAUGGGCAGGUUGAAGGUUGGGUAACACUAACUGGAGGACCGAACCGACUAAUGUUGAAAAAUUAGCGGAUGACUUGUGGCUGGGGGUGAAAGGCCAAUCAAACCGGGAGAUAGCUGGUUCUCCCCGAAAGCUAUUUAGGUAGCGCCUCGUGAAUUCAUCUCCGGGGGUAGAGCACUGUUUCGGCAAGGGGGUCAUCCCGACUUACCAACCCGAUGCAAACUGCGAAUACCGGAGAAUGUUAUCACGGGAGACACACGGCGGGUGCUAACGUCCGUCGUGAAGAGGGAAACAACCCAGACCGCCAGCUAAGGUCCCAAAGUCAUGGUUAAGUGGGAAACGAUGUGGGAAGGCCCAGACAGCCAGGAUGUUGGCUUAGAAGCAGCCAUCAUUUAAAGAAAGCGUAAUAGCUCACUGGUCGAGUCGGCCUGCGCGGAAGAUGUAACGGGGCUAAACCAUGCACCGAAGCUGCGGCAGCGACGCUUAUGCGUUGUUGGGUAGGGGAGCGUUCUGUAAGCCUGUGAAGGUGUGCUGUGAGGCAUGCUGGAGGUAUCAGAAGUGCGAAUGCUGACAUAAGUAACGAUAAAGCGGGUGAAAAGCCCGCUCGCCGGAAGACCAAGGGUUCCUGUCCAACGUUAAUCGGGGCAGGGUGAGUCGACCCCUAAGGCGAGGCCGAAAGGCGUAGUCGAUGGGAAACAGGUUAAUAUUCCUGUACUUGGUGUUACUGCGAAGGGGGGACGGAGAAGGCUAUGUUGGCCGGGCGACGGUUGUCCCGGUUUAAGCGUGUAGGCUGGUUUUCCAGGCAAAUCCGGAAAAUCAAGGCUGAGGCGUGAUGACGAGGCACUACGGUGCUGAAGCAACAAAUGCCCUGCUUCCAGGAAAAGCCUCUAAGCAUCAGGUAACAUCAAAUCGUACCCCAAACCGACACAGGUGGUCAGGUAGAGAAUACCAAGGCGCUUGAGAGAACUCGGGUGAAGGAACUAGGCAAAAUGGUGCCGUAACUUCGGGAGAAGG